CUUAAGGCAGACUUGAGUGGCCUUUUAAUAGGUUUGUUUUGUGGUUGGUUUAUUCCUCUGAUGGAGUGAGUGGAUUUCACUUAGCUGUGUAAAGAAGGAGAGACAGUUUAUGAGCCAAGUGGAGCGGCUGGUGUCAGAUCAGCUGAAGGAUGCUGAAGUUUCUCACAGGUCUCACGACCCCCUCAAGCACCAGACAGGGCAGCUUUGCUGCCUAGUGGCUUUUAUUUGGAUUUUCCUUCAGCUUCUCAGGAUCUGUUUAACUCACCUGGAAAGUGGCAUAGUCUUGACAAAGCUCGAGACAAUGAGUUGAUUCCUUGUUGCUGCUGCUUUAUAUUAGCCAGGUGAAAGACCUGGCAUUGUAUUGUACAGUCAAAGACUGGAUGUACUUGGGAUAGCUAUUCUUGGUCGUUGGCUCAACUAUAUCUGGAAUUAAUUAAAACCCAAACAUCUGCAUACUCUUAUGGGGUGUUUCUUUUCUUUAUUAAAUCUUUCGAAGUGAGAAGACAUAUUUUUAAUCUGGAUCUUUUGAGGUGAGUAGAUUGACCUUUAACCUGGGCCCUACCUUCUACUGACAACACAUAUAAAGGAAAUGAAGAAGGAAGCUUGCUCCUCACCUGCUUGCUCUCACUCUUGCUGGAGGACCAUUCCUUCACUGACAUUAGAGCCUACGUCUUCGAGAUUCUGGUGGAUGCUGAAGAACAGCGGAGACCUCCACGCUGUGGGCUGAACAAGCUGGAUUCUUGGACCUCCCAAUGACAGCCAUUGUUAGACUAGCUGGACCACAGCCUGUCCAUAAGAAAUGAUUACCACCUGGAACCAGAAGCCUUGAAAAAUGAAUUUUGUUUCCGUGGGUCAGAACAAUUCUGGCCGUCCCCUGAACCCAUCUCUGUUGAGGCAGAAGAGAAGAGAAACAAGGUUGGCAUUUUCGACGGAGGAUGAAAUGGCUUCAGGAAGUGAUGUGAAAGGUUAAGAUGAUGGAUGAGAGCUGUCAGGAAGGGAAACAGCCGCUUAUGUUCAACACAUCCACAGCCCUGGAGAUUUCGCA